rnacentral:rRNA from 1 species
UACGUAGGGUGCAAGCGUUACUCGGAAUUACUGGGCGUAAAGCGUGCGCAGGCGGUCUGUUAAGACCGAUGUGAAAUCCCCGGGCUUAACCUGGGAACUGCAUUGGUGACUGGCAGGCUUUGAGUGUGGCAGAGGGAGGUAGAAUUCCACGUGUAGCAGUGAAAUGCGUAGAGAUGUGGAGGAAUACCGAUGGCGAAGGCAGCCUCCUGGGCCAACACUGACGCUCACGCACGAAAGCGUGGGGAGCAAACAGG